CUUCCAUUUCGCACCAGCAAUCACAAAGAGAAGGAAGACUUGGCUUAACUACUUUGCCAAGAUUUCAAGCUGCUCCAGUCCAGUAGUACCCCAACACUCGAAGCUAGAGUUUAUUGGGUGAAAAACCGUGCAUGAGGUCGAGCGCAAGAAUAAGAGCUCGUCAAGGAGUCACUAAUCUGUAGCAAAGCUUUGCUAUCAGGUUGAGCAGCUGCCGAUGGUGAUGAAGUGACGAGCGGGACUCUUUUGUCUUAUUAUGUAUUAAUGAACUCUAGGGUUACAUGUCUUCAUACAUGUAAUCAGAACCUUAUUCCGCUGCGUACUCAGAAGUUUUAUGUUAUUUUGGAUAAGUCGGAGUUAUCCGAACUUGUUAGUUAUUUGAGUCUAUACGACAAAAACUCUGUUAUAUUAUAGAUAUCUAUGUUGUUAACAAUGAUGAAAUA